UGUCUUUUUGAGAAUAAUAUAAGGUCUAAUCUGCCCACUGAUUUAAAUUGAAGGGCUGCAGUAUAUUGACUGUACAAAGGUAGCAUAAUCAUUAGUCAUUUAAUUGAUGACUUGUAUGAAGGAUUGGAUGAAAUAUAAACUGUCUCUUUAUUAAUAAUAGAAUUUAAUUUUUUAAUUAAAAAGUUAAAAUAUUUUAAAAAGACGAGAAGACCCUAUAGAGUUUUAUAAAUAAAAUAAUUAAGAUUAUUUAAUUUAAUAAAAUUAAGAUUAUAUUAUUUAUUUUGUUGGGGUGACAGAAAAAUAUAUUUAACUUUUUUUUUAUUUAAAACAUUUAUAAGUGGUUAAAUGAUCCAAUAUUAUUGAUUAUAAGAAAAAAUUACCUUAGGGAUAACAGCGUAAUUUUUUUUUUUAGUCCAAAUAAGAAAAAGAGUUUGCGACCUCGAUGUUGGAUUAAGAUAAAAUUUAAAUGCAGAAG
rnacentral:rRNA from 1 species